UCAGAUGAAGAUGUAGAACUCUCAGCUACUCCUGCACCAUGCCUGCCUGGAUGCUGCCAUGUUCCCACCUUUAUGAUUCUGGACUGAACCUCUGGACCUAGGCGGCAGACCUCACUAUAAGAAUAUGCUUCUCACAAAGACUCCAGUAGAGAAGAGGAAAACAAGAAGUCCCAGCGCCUGCUCCAUGGUGUGCCAUGCCCAGGCUGCUCCGCAAUCACCAGUCCUUGACCAUGCACAAAUGAUAAUUUAGUGUGGUAACCACUCCACUGCGCUCUGCCAGUCCACCGGAGGAUAAGCAAGGCUUGCAGGAGGCUGACUCUCCAGGAGGAAGCAGCAUGGAAGGACCUGAGUCAGGAGAUCUCAACUCCCCACCUCAGCCUCAGGUUAUCACUGUAGUAGGCCAGGCUAUCUUGCACAUCAUGAAGCUCCUGUCUCCACCUCUGAGUCCUGGCAGCUCAGGCAUGCCCACUGAGUUCAGUCCUGACCGACCUCCGACCUCCGUUCUCAGAGCCUGUUUUGUGGACCGCACAGAGAGAGGCGAGGCUGCAGAGGGCAGCUCACUGCAAGCAUCGGCACGAGUCUUUGGGUUCUGCUGUCUCCACAAUGUUCAACUGCCACCAAAUAAGCUUUUUUAUUCCCCUCAGAAAUUAUUUCACUUAUUCAGCUGGA